AUUGAACGCUGGCGGAAUGCUUUACACAUGCAAGUCGAACGGUAGAGGGGGCAACCCCUUGAGAGUGGCGAACGGGUGAGUAAUAUAUCGGAACGUGCCCAGUCGUGGGGAUAACGUAGCGAAAGUUACGCUAAUACCGCAUACGAUCUAAGGAUGAAAGCGGGGGAUCGCAAGACCUCGCGCGAUUGGAGCGGCCGAUAUCAGAUUAGGUAGUUGGUGAGGUAAAGGCUCACCAAGCCAACGAUCUGUAGCUGGUCUGAGAGGACGACCAGCCACACUGGAACUGAGACACGGUCCAGACUCCUACGGGAGGCAGCAGUGGGGAAUUUUGGACAAUGGACGCAAGUCUGAUCCAGCCAUUCCGCGUGCAGGAUGAAGGCCCUCGGGUUGUAAACUGCUUUGUACGGAACGAAAAGGUUUGUCUUAAUACGAUGAGCUCAUGACGGUACCGUAAGAAUAAGCACCGGCUAACUACGUGCCAGCAGCCGCGGUAAAGUAG
rnacentral:rRNA from 1 species